rnacentral:rRNA from 7 species
GCCUACGGCCAUCCCACCCUGGUCACGCCGCGAUCUCGUCUGAUCUCGGAAGCUAAGCAGGGGUCGGGCCUGGUUAGUACUUGGAUGGGAGACCUCCUGGGAAUACGCGGGUGCUGUAGGCU